GGUGAGUCUCACUGCUGGAGAUGAUCUCCUGCUGAAGCCAACAUGUCCUGAAUCUGAGGUGAACAUCUCCACAAUAAUCUACGUGGAUUAGGACAUUCAGAGCACCCUGAGCUCGGUUUACCCGAGCUGCAGUGCCUGCAGGAGAUAUUCGGCACAUUGCACCAGGACGAUGCCUUCAAACGAGGUUUGUCGUACCAGCGGUUUGCCCCAUUUUUGUCAUGACCCCCUCCGUGCAGUAUCACGGACGCCCUGUUAGCGUCGCUGGGUUCAAAUCCCACCGGGUCAUCUAGACAGACGAUGCACAUGCAGCUCUCGAUCAGCUCCAAAGACUCUCUGUUCACAGGAUCUGUUUGACACGACACGCGUUACAGAAAUCAGAACUCAAACACACCUGAUGAUGGAAAGAUCUGCGGCAUCAUGGCAGCUGCUCUCGGGCUCUGCUCCACUCCGUCCUGCCGUCUGAGGUCAGCAGUCCCACGGCCGGCUGCUUCUGAUCAGAGAUCUGCGAUUGUUCAUAGAUCCACAGGAGCUGAGGCUGAACCUCGGCCUCAUUCAGACGACUGGACUCGCUCAUCAGAUUCAGCACAAAGAACUGUCACGUGAAGAUGGGACAUUUACAGAAAGGAACUAAACUGAUGGGAAAAGUGAAGAUUUUGCCGUUACCAGCAGUAAAUUCAUCUUUUUUCCAAAGAGAUCAACACUCCUCACAACGUAAGAAACAAUGCAGUUACUGUAGUGUGGUUUUCUAGUGGAUAUAAUGUUGUUUGGUACAGUAGGUUACUACACUACUGUUGGUUAAGUGCACAAUCGUUCAUAUUAUCAGCGGGACAAACACAAACAGUUCUGGUGUCAGCGGCGCCCCGCGGCUUCUGAUCUCUGAUUGGGUUAUCGAGUUAUCAGACCGGACCUCGUUAGAGAUGCUUCCUGAAUCAUUUCCAGGUAAAGGAACCUCAAUAUCAGCACGCUGUUUGCACAGCGUGACGUCUGUAGGCAAGAGAGACCGGCCUCCUGUCAAUGGCCCCCAAUGGACCUGCCUUUAUUUUAAGAAGGCUCUCGAGCUACAGCUGUGAUGAUGAUUAGUUGGAUCAGACGAAGGUGACCGCAGACACUCUUAUCUUUUAUUUAGUAUAAAGCUGGGAUUCUUGUUAAAUUGGUGUGUUAAAAACAACUACAAUACAUGCGUUGUCCCAGAAUCCACACAUCUUUGUAUUAUUAUUGAAUAGACGUUACAAUAGUAAUACGCUCGCUUAAAAUGUCGAGUCAUAGCCGCAGCAAAUUUGACUGCUUAUGCUGUCGUGUAUUAUGUUGUGCUAUCUGUCGUUUUUCUGUGCUUUUACUGCUUCUAUUAAUGUAAAGUUGCUUUGAAACAAUUAAGUAUUGUGAAAAGCGCUAUAUAAAUAAAGUUGAAUUGAAUUGAAACUCACAUUUUGUGUUACUUUUAAUUUUAACACAAAAAAGCAUAAAAAAAAAUGUAAAAAUGAACACAUCUUUUCUUAGAGUGAACAAUCAAAUCAGUAUCCUUCUUGCCAGAAUAUUAUGACAGAGAA